rnacentral:rRNA from 1 species
GUGCCAGCCGCCGCGGUAAUACAGAGGGUGCGAGCGUUAAUCGGAAUUACUGGGCGUAAAGCGCGCGUAGGCGGCUUGGCAUGUCGGGUGUGAAAUCCCCGGGCUCAACCUGGGAACUGCAUCCGAAACUGCCUUGCUAGAGUAUGGGAGAGGGAAGUGGAAUUUCCGGUGUAGCAGUGAAAUGCGUAGAUAUCGGAAGGAACACCAGUGGCGAAGGCGACUUCCUGGACCAAUACUGACGCUCAAGUGCGAAAGCGUGGGGAGCAAACAGGAUUAGAUACCCGCGUAGUCC